rnacentral:tRNA from 1 species
GAAAGAGGCCCGAUACGGCAGCAACGACUGCUAAUCUGUUGUCCCCGUGGUUUAACUCCACGGCUCAUUCG